UACGAAGGGGGCUAGCGUUGCUCGGAUUGACUGGGCGUAAAGGGCGCGUAGGCGGUUUGCACAGUCAGACGUGAAAUUCCUGGGCUUAACCUGGGGGCUGCGUUUGAUACGUGCAGGCUUGAGUUCGGAAGAGGGUCGUGGAAUUCCCAGUGUAGAGGUGAAAUUCGUAGAUAUUCGCAAGAACACCAGUGGCGAAGGCGGCUCACUGGCCCGAUACUGACGCUGAGGCACGAAAGCGUGGGGAGCAAACAGG
rnacentral:rRNA from 1 species